rnacentral:lncRNA from 1 species
GUAAGCCUUCUGGGAAAGACUUUCACUUUGAUUGAAGAGAGAAAUACUCCAGUGCUUUUAUUUUCUCUGCCUGUGAGAUGAAGCUGUGCGGGAGAUAGUACUUGGAGCCCCUAAAGCUAGAUACUAACAUAAAGAGAGUAGCUAGUACACUGAGGAUGAUGGAGAAGAACUAUGAGCUCUUGGUAACAUUGCUAAUGAUCACAAUAACCUGUGAAAUAUCUUGUCUCUGGGUUUGUUGAGAUAAUAUGUCUCAUAUAAUUUAAACUACUUUUAAUUAGGUACCCUGUAAUUUAAAGCUUGGAGCAGAUAUAUGACACAAAUUUUGUUCCGCAGAGCUAUAAGGAACAGACCAUAAAAUGUAAAACUUGCAGAGUUAAGUCGACAGAACAAGGACAGUGGUGGCUGGAGCUCUCCCACUUGGGAAGUAGUGCACGUUGUCAUUUUAUGGGCAGGUAACUGGUCUUUGAACCAUACUUUUGCAAACAUGGACCCAGUGAAGAAAACUGUGCCUCACCCAGAUGUCCAAGACCUGGAGCCAGAGACUGGAGGAUCCUCGAGGCUUGUUUUCUUUCAGAAAUGAAAGAAUGAGUACCGUGUAAGUGUGAGGCCGCUAUUUUAGCAUAAAGAUGGCACAUAUGGGUAUCGGGUGCCCAGAGUGGAAGGUGCGAACUAUUGUUAAAUACCUAG